ensembl:lncRNA
GAGAGAGAGAGCGAGAGAUGAGAGAGAGAGAUAUGAGAGAGAGAGAGAGAGAAGAGAGAGAGAAGAGAGAGAGAGAGAGCGAGAGAUGAGAGAGAGAUGAGAGAGAGAGAGCGAGAGAUGAGAGAGAGAGAGAUAUGAGAGAUAGAGAGAGAUGAGAGAGAGAGAGCGAGAGAUGAGAGAGAGAUGAGUGAGACAGAGAGAUGAGAGAGAGAGGUGAGCACUACUGUUCAGUGUAACUGGUACUGAGAAUGUAAGGCUGAGAAACCUCAGAGAACGCUCCAUAUGUCGAAUCAUUUCUCCUUUUCUUCUCUGUUUUGUUUCUUUUUCACUUUUUCUUUUUUAAAGCUGCCCCUCACGCUGCCCUCUAUAAGUCUUCUUUUAAUAGCAGUGCAUGAAAUUCUAAGUUUUUUUUUUUUUUUUUAAAGACAUUUGGCAUAUUAGAGAACAUACACACAAAGACAUGUUGAUCAAAGCUCCUUUUUUAAAAACACAACAGCUGCUUUUGGAAGAACAUACAUGUUAUGUAGAAAAUAAAAAAGAAUGAAAAGUGAUAAAAAAGAGAGUAAAAAUCUGUCCAUGUAGGUCUGACAUAACAUCCCAUUUGACUGAGAAGGUGAGGAAAUGAAAGUUGUUACAUAGGUACUUUUGUUUAAAAAUAGGCUUGUAACAGACAAUGAAAAUUACUGACCCACUUUCAUUCAGGCUGAGGUGAAACUGAAUUUGAAAUAAAUUAAGUCAAUUUGUGUUUUGUGAUAACCCAGAGGAGUAAAAAGAUGCAUGACACCACCAAAGCACUGAAACUGGUGUAAACCCAUGAUGUGCUCCCUUUGACUGUGUGGUCUCUUCCUUUUCUACCGCUAUCUUUCUACGGCAGCCUGUCUUUUAGUUAUCACAGGCAAAUGUGUAAACAGUGAAUCCAGAUUAGAACCAAAUCACACAAGUCUGACAGUGGCCAGAGAAGAACCUUGUGACCAGCAUGGUUCGGCUUAAUUGCUGAGCUCGUAUCGGUGGACAGAUUUUGCCUCCAUUUCUGGAAACCCAGGGGUCAUGAUUAGGCGGGGAACUACAUAGAGAACACCCUCCUGGUUCCCAGAUAACAAAAAACAACAAAAAGUAGCGACCGAAUGUGUAAACUAAACUAGGCACAGACAUACAGCCGAAUAGAGAGGACCACAGAGUCUCAGAGACAG